rnacentral:rRNA from 1 species
CCUACGGGAGGCUGCAGUGAGGAAUAUUGGUCAAUGGGCGCGAGCCUGAACCAGCCAAGUAGCGUGAAGGAUGACUGCCCUACGGGUUGUAAACUUCUUGUAUAAAGGAAUAAAGUGAGGCAAGUGGGCCUUUUUGUAUGUACUUUAUGAAUAAGGAUCGGCUAACGCCGGGCCAGCAGCCGCGGUAAUACGGAGGAUCCGAGCGUUAUCCGGAUUUAUUGGGUUUAAGGGGAGCGUAGAUGGGUUGUUAAGUCAGUUGUGAAAGUUUGCGGCUCAACCGUAAAAUUGCACUUGAUACUGGCAGUCUUGAGUACAGUUGAGGUAGGCUGAAUUCGUGUUGUAGCGG